rnacentral:lncRNA from 1 species
CGGCCGCGCGGCGGCGUGGCCGGAGUGUCAGCGCGGCGUGUCCCCGCCGGCGGCUGAGUCAGGGCGGCCGCCCCCGCCCCCUGCCGUGCCCUUCCCUUCCCUCCCCGGCAUCCGUGUGGGAGCGGCGGGGGCGGCUCGGCGCUUCCUCCUGCAUGAGGUCACACGGCGGGGGAGGGAGCUGCCUCCCCGGUGCUGUCCCCGCUCCCCACCGGGCUGAGUUCUUCCCCAUGUCAGCCAAUCCCAAUUGGCAGAUGGGCUCUGGAAGCAAGUGAUGUGUUCCUGGACCUUGCUGGUUAUUGCUCAUGGCCCUUUGUCUGGAGCAUUUAUGGCUGUGCCUGAGUCACUGCAGUUCCAGUCCUGCUGUGCCUGCUCCAUGGAAGGCUUCAGAGGCUGUCGGCAGUGUUGAUGUUUGCACUGCUGCCAUAGCAAACUGCUUCAUGGGGUCAGGGAAACCUCAAACAUCCCUAGCGAAGCCAAAGGGCAGGACAUCAAGGGGUAUUUUUUACUUCAGAUGA